rfam:Naegleria gruberi genomic scaffold NAEGRscaffold_42, whole genome shotgun sequence.
GGCUACGGCCAUAUCACGAUGAAUGCACCUCAUCCCGUCCGAUUUGAGAAGUUAAGCAUCGUAGAGCCACAUCAGUACUGAGGUUGGAGACAACUUGGGAACCUGUGGUGCUGUAGUCU